AUUGAACGCUGGCGGCAUGCCUUACACAUGCAAGUCGAACGGCAGCGCGGGCUUCGGCCUGGCGGCGAGUGGCGGACGGGUGAGUAAUGCAUCGGAACGUGCCCAGGAGUGGGGGAUAACGUAGCGAAAGUUACGCUAAUACCGCAUACGUACUGAGGUAGAAAGCGGGGGAUCGAAAGACCUCGCGCUCAUGGAGCGGCCGAUGUCGGAUUAGCUAGUUGGUGAGGUAAAAGCUCACCAAGGCGACGGUCCGUAGCUGGUCUUACAGGACGACCAGCCACACUGGGACUGAGACACGGCACAGACCCCUACGGGAGGCAGCAGUGGGGAAUCUUGGACAAUGGGGGAAACCCUGAUUCAGCAAUGCCGCGUGUGGGAUGAAGGCCCUCGGGUUGUAAACCACUUUUGGCAGGAAAGAAAUCGCCUGUGCUAAUACCAUGGGCGGAUGACGGUACCUGCAGAAUAAGCACCGGCUAACUACGUGCCAGCAGCCGCGGUAA
rnacentral:rRNA from 1 species